AUUGAACGCUAGCGGGAUGCCUUACACAUGCAAGUCGAACGGAGUGGCGAACGGGUGAGUAAUGUAUCGGAACGUGCCCAGUAGCGGGGGAUACCUACGCGAAAGCGUAGCUUAUACCGCAUACUAUUGGAGCGGCCGCUAUCGGAUUAGCUAGUUGGGGGGGAAACGGCUCACAAAUGCGACGAGCCGUAGCUGGUCUGAGAGGACGACCAGCCACACUGGGACUGAGACACGGCCCAGACUCCUACGGGAGGCAGCAGUGGGGAAUUUUGGACAAUGGGUGAAACCCUGAGCGAGCCAUCCCGCGUUGGCGAUGAAGGCCUUCGGGUUGUAAAGCACUUUUGGCAGGGAAGCGGUACCUGCAGAAUAAGCACCGGCUAACUACGGGCCAGCAGCCGCGGUAAUUC
rnacentral:rRNA from 1 species